UACGUAGGGGGCAAGCGUUGUCCGGAAUCAUUGGGCGUAAAGAGCUCGUAGGCGGUCUGUCGCGUCUGCUGUGAAAACUCAGGGCUUAACCCUGAGCUUGCAGUGGGUACGGGCAGACUAGAGUGCGGUAGGGGAGACUGGAAUUCCUGGUGUAGCGGUGAAAUGCGCAGAUAUCAGGAGGAACACCGGUGGCGGAAGGCGGGUCUCUGGGCC
rnacentral:rRNA from 1 species